GACCCAUGGCUCACGCAGGUUGCCGCCGGGGUCUCAUAAGCCCCGGUCGCGUGGUUCGACUCCACGGUGAGCUCC
rnacentral:tRNA from 1 species